UACGUAGGCAGCGAGCGUUGUUCGGAAUUAUUGGGCGUAAAGAGUGUGUAGGCGGUGCUCCAAGUCUGUCGUGAAAUCUCCCGGCUUAACCGGGAGGGUGCGGCGGAAACUGGAGUGCUAGAGGGUGGGAGAGGAAAGCGGAAUUCCCGGUGUAGCGGUGAAAUGCGCAGAUAUCGUAAGGAAGACCAGUGGCGAAGGCGGGUCUCUGGACAGUUCCUGACGCUGAGGCACGAAGGUCAGGGGAGCAAACGGG
rnacentral:rRNA from 1 species